UUCUUUUCUUAGUUCUUGUCUUUUCCUAUCUUAGCGUCGAAAUUACAUUUCCUACGUCCCUACCUAUUCGCACCAAACCAAGCCAUGGAAAAAAAGGAUGCAUCACGCAGCCUCGCUUACCCGAUCCUCUAGAGCUAGGUGGGUGUGUGUGCUGCCGUCGCUGCCCACGCCCGUGGCUUUCUUGGUGUUGGCCGCUCUCGGGCUGCUGCCGGCGCCCUUGCUCUCUCGCCCUCUGGGCUGGGGCUCGCUUCGUUUCGCUUUUCGUUCCGCUGCUCUGCUGCUGGCUCUCGGCGUUGAUCUCCGGCUCUGCUUCUUUGCUGCUGGCUCUCGGCGUUGAUGUCUGGCUCUGCUUCUCUGCUCUGCUGCUGGCUACCGUGGGCCGCGAACUUAAAUUAUGACUUCAGAAUUUCACCUUAUACUAUAACUUAGAAACUAACAAUGGAAAAUUAUAAACUUAAUAAUAAAGACUUCAUGAUAACUCUAAUAAAUACCUAAUAAAAAAUAAAACAAGUAAUCUUCCUAGUGAAAACUUAACCCUAUAUAACAAAAACUUCAUAAUAAACCUUCAUGGUGACCGUUCUAAGUACUUAAACCUACCAAUUAUAACUGCUUAAAACCUACCAAAAUUGUUCGUCGUCACACCCCCCCUUUCUUCCCGGGUGACAUUUGAUGGUGACGCCGCCGGACGGGGUGAUCGUGAUUUUAAACGUGCUUUCCGGCCACUCCAGAGUGAAGCGUCGCCUUGAGGUCCCCUGUUGUUGGCUUGUACGGACCAUUUCCACGAGGGCCCGAGGGAUGAGUCGGCGUGGGGUAUUCGCCCGCCAUUCGGAAGGGGCCUCGACCCACUUCCUCUCCUCUUGUAGCAGCUCCGCUGUAGGGGCUUUGACGUUAACUUCCGGUCCUAGCAGAGUCUGGAGGUCGCUGCUGCCAAAUUACAAUUACAAUUACAAGUCCAGCUCGUCGGUGUCUUGGGCUGGCGAUAGCCCGAGCGAAGCGGAUUAAGCAGUCGGUGUUGCUGCUGUUCGCGAGGUCGACACCCCUAUCUCGUCACUGAUGAUGGCCACCGGGGCAUCGCUCUCCACCCUCUCCUCGUUCUCUGGCUGCAGCCACGAAUCCGGUUCCGGGUAGAGGUAUCGGUAUGGCGCUCUCUGUACUUGCGAAAGCUCCGUGCUUAUGUCGUCGAAUUGCGAAAUUCCUCGGGCGGGUUCGGCCUCGUUUCCCUCGUCGUCGAACCCCUCGAACCGGCGUUGAUACUGGGGAACUCAGCCCCAGGCGUUUUGGCGUUCUUCUGCCCACUGUCGCCGCGGCUCCUCGAUCUCCUCGUCGUCCAUGGUCGUACUCAGUGCUGCGGGAUAUAAACGAGGUUAUAUCCAUGGGCCUAUGGACAGACUAUGGUCUACAGGACAAUAGUCUGGUGCGAUGUUUGAAACUUGUAAAUACCCUAACGAAAUACUACUACCGAUGUUAUACAUUGUCUAAAACUAAUCCGCAUUGUGAGCGGCCCCAAAUUUACUUGCUAGUCCUGUCUGGUCGUCUGUGUUGCGGCCGAGCGGGUGCUCACCAUCUUCGCUGUCCUGCUGUUCCUCGUCGUCGUGUUGCUGGAAGGCUUUCAGGUCGGCUACCCCUGCGGUGCGCCGUUGUCCAGUCUCCGUGUGGCGAACUCUGGCUAUUUUGGGUGAAACGAACUUGGUUACCUUAUACGGGCCCUCGUACCGUGGGGCUAACUUGGCGGCGAAUCCGUCGUUGGCUUUCGAUAGCACGUGUUGCUUCACUAGCUCCAACCUGCCAAUGCUUGGUCUCCAAUCGCGUAAGUUGUAGUGGUAGUAUAGCUGUUUCGCCCUGGUUUCGGGAUCUGACUAUUCCGGAUCCUGGCGUGACUUCUUCGUACAAUGCUCCUGAAAGUCUCGGCUCUCGUGCUUGGACCAGGAACGCCGGACUGAAUCCUUUUGUGUCGGACACGCUGCUAUUGAUUACCAAUGAAGUCUCCGGUAGCAGGGUGUCCCAUGUACUAUGUGGUCCCUCGAUGUACUGUGCGAUCAUUGUCUUGAUUGUCCGGUUAGCUCUUUCCGUCGGGUUUUGCUGUGGAUUGUAAGGCGCAGUAUACUCCAGUGUCAUACCUGCCCGCUUACGAAACGCCUUAAAGGAACGACUGGUAAAUUGAGUCCCGUUGUCGCUGAUGAACUUCCGGGGUAUCCCAAGUGCCCAUCGUGCGAUUCGUCCCGUGGGAUUUUCGAUCGUGUUGAGCCACAUGAGGGCUAAGUGGUCCGUCACGACGUCGAACCUGUAUCCUUCCAAGUAGCAACGCAGCUUCCUGAUGGCCCACACGAUUGCUAAACAUUCCUUCUCGGUGACGGAGUAAUUCUCCUCGGCCCUCGAUAGUCUCCGGCUCAAGUAUGCAAUGACCUACUCGCCGUCGGCACUCGGCUGGGUUAGUACUCCUCCUAGUCCGUAGUCGCUGGCGUCAGUCUGUAAAGAGAACUUACUGGUAAAAUCCGGACACGAGAGAACUGACCGAGGCCAGUAGUUCCUUUAGUUGCGCGAACGCUUGCUGUUGUGGUGUUUCCCACGUCUAUUUUAUGCCUUUCCGAAGAAGCUGUGACAUCGGUUGCACCACGGCUGCAAAGUUUGGGACAAAUCGCCUGUACCAGGAGGCGAGACCCAAGCAUCGGCGUAGUUCACUGUUUGGACCUGCGAGCUUCUGGACCGCGGCGAUCUUCUCGGGAUCGGUGUGAAUAGGUACGUAUAUAUGUGUGCCCCAGGUACACCAAUCUGCUCUGGAAGAAGAGGCAGUCUUCCGGUUAAGCCUGAGGUUCGCUUGUCGUAAGCGCCUCAACACUUCUUUGAGAUUCCUGACAUGUUCCUUCAAUGUCGUUCCAAUGAUGAUUAUGUCAUCGAGAUAUGCGAACGCGUGGGGUUCCAUAUCUGCCCCAAUGACGCUGUCGAGUGCCCUCUGAAAUGUUGCGGGUGCACGCCAUUGGAAGAGACCUCGUUCUGGUACUGUGAAUGCUGUGCAUUCACGGCUUGCCUUGGCCAUGGGUAUCUGCCAAUACCAGCUUUUCAAGUCCAAUGUGCUAAUAUACUUAUCGUUCCAUAAUCUUUCCAAGAUAGAAUCCUCGGCAGGGGGUAAGCGUCCGGUACCGACCGUGCGUGGAGUUGGCGAAAGUCCACACACAUGCGGGUUUCUCCAGUCUUCUUGCCCACCAACACAAUAGGGCCACAGUGUGGGCUUUUGGAAGGCUCGAUGCAUCCAUCCCGUAGUAACUCGUCGACUUGCGCGUGGAUAAUCCCUUGCGUGGCUGGAUUCCGUGGAUAGUAUCGCUGUUUGAUCGGGCGAUCGUCGCUCAUCAAUAUCACUUGCUCGGCGAUGUUGGACACGCCGGUCAUGCCGUCGAAUUUCGCCAAUUCUUCCUUCAGGAAUUUCUGUACCCAUGAUGCUAUCGGCUCUGCUGAGCUGGGUCCGAGCUGGCUUGUGGCGGCUGGCUGGGCCUCUGACCCCAUCGCUGCUCCGUAGUCGGGCUGUGCACCUCCUAAGGCUAACGUUUCGUCUGUGAUGCUGGCCAGUACCCCAAUGAUAAUAGUAAGUUUUCUGGCCUGCUGCGGAUAUUUUGGGUAGCUUUCUGUCGUGCGGGGCCAAGAGCGCCUCCCCAGGUUCUGGGUUCUGUCGUCGAGAGCCGUUGGCAGGACCAGCAUCAGGAUGCUAGCCCGUGCUUGUCCUAGUCGUACCUCUGCUUGAAUUGCCCGCGUUAGUUCCAUCCUUGUCCCAUUUUCCAAAGCUAUUGUUGUCCUCACUGAUCGUCUGUUAGCCGGGGUCUCGAUGAGUAGUGCCUUCUGCUCGCUGAGGAAACUCCGUGUGGCCCCCGUGUCCAGCGUCGCUAUCAUUACCUUAGCUUCGAUGCUUGCCUCGGCGGCAAGCCUGCCAUCUCGCGGACGUAUGACACCCGCUAGUCCUAGGACUCGCUCGUCUGACCUCUCAUCUGUCCUGGGUUUGAUGAGGGGCGCUGGGCGUUUCCCGUCUCCUUGGCCUGGCAGCAGUCGAUGGUCCUCACUCCUCGGCGGCCACAGUUCCCGCAGAAUAGUGUCCGAGUUCCACGGCAUUGCCUGGCAAAGUGUCCUAGCACUCCGCAGUUCCGUCACGCAUUACGUGAGUCCACUGGUUGCUCGCUGCUGGUAUUGCCUAUCGUUCCUGGAUCCUUUCCCUCUUCAGGCACCGCUGCGGCGUUCGAAGUCGUCCACUGUGAGCCACGCUUUGGCAUCGCUGCUGAUCCUGUCCUGGUUCUGGCUUGACGUUGAUGCUCGCGUUCCCGGGUGACCUCAAAGUUGAUCACCAGUUGUGUUAGCUGUUUGAAUGUGCGGAACUCCAUGCGUCUCACGUACAACUGGUAUUCUGGCAGAAGAUUUUCGUACACCCGCUCCAGUUCCUGAGCUUCCGAGUAACCAGCGCGGUUCAUCAUUAGGCGAAUGUCCACUAGAUACUGCUUGUAUCCCUCGUUUUCCCUCUGGUAUCGCAUCCUGAUCUCGUCCUCCAGUCUCUGAAAGUACCGCGGGGGUAGGAAGAAAUCCAAAAAUUCCCGGCGAAACACGUUCCAUGGCUCUCCCUGUAGAUGACUCGUGCGGAACCAGUCCUCUGCAGUACCUUUUAAAAGUUCCGGUACUCCUUGGGCCAAACUUCUGGUGUCCACUCGGUGUGAUACGGCUCGUUCCUCCAACAGCUCGAUGAAUCGCAAGGGAUCGCUGACGCCGUCAAAAGUGACUCCCCAGCGUUGCAUGCGCUCCACGCCAAUAGCUCCGGAGACGUCGCGUUGAUUUGGUAGCAUCACCCUCUCGUUGGUUCGCGACACGCGCUGCUGCUGUCCGGGCACCGGUAUGCUUAGGUAAUGCAUACCCGGUCUGGUUGGUUCUUCUUGGGGAAUUUCCUUCGCUUGGGGUCCAUUUCCACUCGUAGUAGGCGAAAGGCUCCGAGAUCGCUGCUGUGUUUCUGGCUUGGUGUCUGGAGUCCGUGCUCGUCCAAAGGUGUCUUCAAGUUCUUCUAGGCGGGCCUGGAAGGUAGGCGAGUGUCCCCCACGACUCACAAAGGCAGACAUGCGGCCUCGGAGUUCCUCCACGGUGCCUUCUCGUUCGAAUCCGGAUUCCUUGGCGAAUGACUCCAGUUCCGCCUUGCGCCGGUACGAGAUCCAUACUACUCCUACCAUGCUGCUAUUUGGCAUCUGCUCCUGUGUCCUGGGUCCUGUGCCUUGAUUUCUGUGUCGCUUGUAUCCUUGUUGUAAUCCUGUUAUGUCCUGUGCAAUGCCUGUUCAAUGUUUCCUCCGUGUUAUCCUGUGCGCUGCCCUUGUUGCUUCUAGCCUUGGAGUAUUCCCAAUCCAAUCCUGUUUGAUGGCCUUGUUCCUAGUAUCCUUGGUAUCCUUUGCGCUGUCCUUAUUACUAGUAUCCUUGUUGUAUCGUAGUGUUAUCCUUGGUUGUAGUAUCCUGUGCGAGGUCCUUGUUGUAUACCUGUAGUAUCCCUGGUAGAUACUUUUUUUAUCACUUGGUCAGAAUUUGUAUGAUUAGGAACGAUGUGCACUGUUGAAUGACUCUGGGUCGACUGUCCUCUUUUAUGCUCUCCCAACUUAAUUUAUGGGGGAUUCAUGUGCGGCCAAACGAUCGUGACCGAGAGUUCACAAGCGCUGCGUGGUCCGCCUCUCUCUCUUCCGACCUUCGUAGAUGCGAUAGCCCAAAAAAAAACAUUUUUUUCUGUUUUAUCUCUCUGCUCCUCGUAGCUCCGAAAUAUGUACUCUGUAUGCUGUGUGGACCCUGAGAACCUCGUGUAUGCUCACUCCUUGAGUUCAGUGAGUGAGUUCACUCAGUUCCUUGAAAACUGGGUAUUUUCCCGUUCAUGUCGGCAUCAGCGUGUAAACCGGAAACAAACGAAACCUUGACCAAUGAUUUCCCAGUUCCCGCAAAACUGGGCAAUUGGCAAAAGUGCCGAAACGCGUUCAAAAUAUAACCCACACCCUGUGCACGUGUGCUUUUGGGUGUCCAAGUGUCUGUGAAACUGUGCCCACGUGAAGGUGUUUGGGAAGUGCACUUGUGUGCACGCAGACCUUCCUAUGUUAAGGGAAACCAAAAUUUCAAAUACAAAUGAAAGACGAAUACGUGUGUGUCCUCGUCCCACGUGUGUCACUGCCCACUGACUUGGGGACUUUUCCGCAGCGAUCGCGACCUAUCCGCUUGGUUGCCAAAAUUUUACUCCCCGAGGCGAGCUCCGCGUGGCGAUCGCAAGCCCUUAGCUGCGGUCCCUUGUCCGGGCUGCGCUGCCGCUGCCCACGCCCGUGGCUUUCGA
rnacentral:lncRNA from 1 species